rnacentral:rRNA from 1 species
GUGGGGAAUAUUGGACAAUGGGGGGAACCCUGAUCCAGCCAUGCCGCGUGUGUGAAGAAGGCCUUUUGGUUGUAAAGCACUUUAAGCGAGGAGGAGGCUACCGAGAUUAAUACUCUUGGAUAGUGGACGUUACUCGCAGAAUAAGCACCGGCUAACUCUGUGCCAGCAGCCGCGGUAAUACAGAGGGUGCAAGCGUUAAUCGGAUUUACUGGGCGUAAAGCGCGCGUAGGUGGCCAAUUAAGUCAAAUGUGAAAUCCCCGAGCUUAACUUGGGAAUUGCAUUCGAUACUGGUUGGCUAGAGUAUGGGAGAGGAUGGUAGAAUUCCAGGUGUAGCGGUGAAAUGCGUAGAGAUCUGGAGGAAUACCGAUGGCGAAGGCAGCCAUCUGGCCUAAUACUGACACUGAGGUGCGAAAGCAUGGGGAGCAAACAGGAUUAGAUACCCUGUAGUCC